CCAUUUCUAGCAAAAAUACCUCCCUGUAACUCCAAUCUUAAAACCCACAACUUCAUUUCCAAUUCAAUAACUUCAAACUGCCAAGAUUACCUAAAACAUACCCAAAAUGCCAACUUUUUCCAAAAUUUGAAAGCUUGAAGCUUCACACUUCAAGUUCAAAUUCAUUCUAAAUGAACAAAGAUUUAAACUUCAAAGGUGUCAGAAGAAUUAGAAUUCAUACAGACAAAAGUGAACACUCUUUACCUUAUUGGAGCUUCACUUAACUGAUACACAAUUCAGAUUCACAAAAUAUUACAUAUAAAAAAAACAUUUUUUUUCAACUCUUACUUGUUUCUUGAUACUCAUGUAUAAGCUUCGUCUUCCAUCCCUUUGCAUUUCAAUUCUCCUCUGUUUAUUAUGUUCUUCUCCAAAAAUCACAUCUUUUGAAUCAAGAAUCGAAAAUACCCACUUCCCACUUUCUCUCUCUGACACCACUCUCUCUCUCUCUC
rnacentral:lncRNA from 1 species